CAAUGAGUGUUUUAUGGCACUUUUUAAAAAUCCAUAUCCACCUUGUGUGCAAUGUUAGAUCUCGUCAAUCUUGGCGAGGUUUUUUAUACAUCAACUCAUUCUUUAACUAAUUUGUCUGAAAAAUAUUAUGAAUAACUUAAUUCAAAAUA
rnacentral:misc_RNA from 1 species